ACGAACGCUGGCGGCGUGCUUAACACAUGCAAGUCGCACGGAAAGGCCCUGCUUUUGUGGGGUGCGCGAGUGGCGAACGGGGGAGUAACACGUGAGUAACCUGCCCUUGACUUUGGGAUAACUUCAGGAAACUGGGGCUAAUACCGGAGAGGAGCUGCUGCUGCAUGGGGGGGGUUGGAAGGUUUCGGCGGUUGGGGAUGGACUCGCGGCUUAUCAGCUUGUUGGUGGGGUAGUGGCUUACCAGGGCUUUGACGGGUAGCCGGCCUGAGAGGGUGACCGGCCACAGUGGGACUGAGAUACGGCCCAGACUCCUACGGGAGGCAGCAGUGGGGAAUAUUGCACAAUGGGCGGAAGCCUGAUGCAGCAACGCCGCGUGCGGGAUGACGGCCUUCGGGUUGUAAACCGCUUUCGCCUGUGACGAAGCGUGAGUGACGGUAAUGGGUAAAGAAGCACCGGCUAACUACGUG
rnacentral:rRNA from 1 species